GGGGGCGUCACGGUUUCGACGGGGACAUUUGAAGUUGUAGAUGCGUACCGAGGUUCCUACAGGCCUCGUUAAAUAGGUAGGAAACAUAUAAUCGCAGACAACUACGAUUACGCUUUAGCCGCUUAAGACGGCUAACGUUCUGCCCGGUUUUCCUGUUGGCUGGAACAGAACGUCAUUCAGACAGGAUAGCCAAACUUUUUUCCUGGGGAAGCGAGGCGAAAUACUUUCAGGAUAGCGCGGUGCGAUCCGGCCUUAGGGAGCAAUCCGGCGCGAAUUUAAAUCUGAGGCUAUGUGCGUAGAUUCUCCAGCGGAAGGUUUUCGGACGCGGGUUCGACUCCCGCCGCCUCCACCA
rnacentral:tmRNA from 1 species